rnacentral:rRNA from 1 species
ACUUACUCCAAAGUGCCCCUAAAAAGCGACCUAAAAAAGUGCCCCAAACUUACUCCCAAAGUGCCCCUAAAAAGUGCCCCUAAAAAGUGCCCCAAACUACUCCAAAGUGCCCCUAAAAGAGCGCCCACUAACUAAAGUCAAGCGCCCAAAACUUACUCCAAAGUGCCCCUAAAAAGUGCCCCUAAAAAGUGCCCCAAACUUACUCCAAAGUGCCCCUAAAAAAGCGCCUCCUAAAAACGUGCCCCCAAACUUACUCCAAAGUGCCCCUAAAGAAGCGCCCCAAACUAUACUCCAAAGUGCCGCCUAAAAAGUGCCCCACAAACUUACUCCACAAGUGCCCCUAAGUGAAAGGGGCGUGGCCACAGGUACAACUCAGGCCGAUCCCUGGCAAAGCGCAAAAACUUUGGCCAAAGAAACUUUCUCGUCCUUUGUGUUAUGAGAGGGGCCUCUGCUGAAAAAUUACGCCGGCACACUCCAAAGACCCCAAAGUGUCCUUAGGUUGCCCCUUUUUGGGACACCUUAACUCUCCUAUGUGGGCAAAGUGCCCUUCAUAUUUGGAGCCCACCAAAGUCAAUUUGGGGUAACUUUUCGCACAAAGUAUGCCAAAAUGACCUUUUAGUAUACCGAAAAUGACCUCUCCUCCUCAGGAAUAGCUGCCGCUCAUUACAGUCCCAGUCUUAUCUGGUAAAGCGAAUGACUAGAGGCCUUGGGGCCGAAAGAUCUCCAACCUAUGUCUCAAAACUUUAAAUGGGUAAGAGGCCCCUGCUCGCUGGCUUGGAGCAGGGCGUGGAAUGCGAGUGCCAGUGGGGCCCACUUUUGGUAAGCAGAACUGGCGCUGCGGGAUGAACCGAACGCCGGGUUAAAGGCGCCCCGAUGCCGACGCUCAUCAGACCCAGAAAAGGUGUUGGUUGAUAUAGACAAGCAGGACGGUUGGCCAUGGAAGUCGGAAUCCGCUAAGGAGUGUGUAACAACUCACCCUGCCGAAUCACUAGCCCUGAAAAUGGAUGGCGCUGGAGCGUCGGGACCCAUACCCGGGCCGCUGCGCUGGGAUCGGAGCCUCCGUGGGCUACGCCGCGAUGAGUAGGAGGGCCGCGCGGUGGCGACGGGAAGCCUAGGGCGCGGGCCCGGGUGGAGCCGCCGCGGGUGCAGAUCUUUGUGGUAGUAGCAAAUAUCAAACACAGAGAAUUUGAAGGCCGAGAUGGAGGAAGGGUUCCAUGUGAACCAGCAGUUGAACAUGGGUCAGUCGGUCCUUAAGAGAUUGGCGAACGCCGUUUCAAAAGUGCGGGGCGAUGGCCUCCGUCGCCCCGGUCGAUCGAAGGGGAGUCGGGUUCAGAUCCCCGAAUCCUGGAGAGGCGGAGAUAGGCGCCGCGAGGCGUCCAGUGCGGUAACGCAAACGACCCCGGAGAAGCUGGCGGGAGCCCGGGAAGAGUUCUCUUUUCUUUGUGAAGGGCAGGGCACCCCUGGAAUGGUUCGCCCCGAGAUAGGGGCCCGUGCCCUGGAAAGCGUCGCGGUUCCGGUCGGCGUCCGGGUGAGCUCUCGCUGGCCUCGUGAAAAUCCGGUGGAGAAGGUUGUAAAUCUCGCGCCAGGGCCGUACCCAUAUCCGCAGCAGGGAUCUCCAAGGUGAACAGCCUCUGGCAUGAUGAAACAAGGGGGGUAAGGGAAAGUCGGCAAAUCAGAUCCGUAGAACUUCGGGAUAAGGAUUGGCUCUAGGGCUGGGCUCGGCUCGGCGCGGGGUGGCGAAGCGGGGCUGGGCCUGGCCGCGGGCUGGGGGAAGGCAGCCACCGCCGCCUCCUGUCGUCCUCCCCCUCUGAAGCGUCUCGCGGCGGGGUGGGCUCAGAGAGGGUCUUGCGUGGCGUCGGCUCCUUCGGGGUCGUCGCGGCGCGGGGCUCGAGGGUCUGCUCUCGUCCGGGCGUGGAGGUGGGAGUGAUGGGGGCUUCAGGCUCGGAGCGGCGGUCGGCUGGGCGACUCUGGACGUGCGUCGGGCCCUUCUCGCGGAUCUCCUCAGCUACGGUGACUGUACGGCUCCACCCCGGGGUCGCGGCGGCUCGCCUCGGCUGGCACCUAGCAGCUGACUUAGAACUGGUGCGGACCAGGGAGAUCCGAACCUGUUUAAUUAAAACAGAGCAUCGCGAGGGCCCAGCGGGUGUUGACGCAAUGUGAUUUCUGCUCCCAGUGCUCUGAAAUGUCAAAGUGAAGAAAUUCAAUGAAGCGGCGGGUAAACGGCGGGAGUAACUAUGAUCUCUUCUAAGGUAGCCAAAUGCUUCGUCCAUCUAAUUAGUGAUCGCGCUAUGUAUGGAUGUACGAACGAUUCCCUCUGUCCCUACCUUACUAUCCAGCGAAACCACAGCCAAGGGAACGGGCUUGGCAGAAUCAGCGGGGAAAGGAAGACCCUGUUGAGCUUGACUCUAGUCUGGGUACUGUGAAGAGACAUGAGAGGUGUAGAAUAAGUGGAGGUUCCCGGCCGACGUUGUGAAAUACCACUACUCUUAUCGUUUUUUCCACUUAACCCGGUGGAGCGGCGGGGAGGCGAGCCCGACGGUGCGGGUGUCUUCGUUUCUGGUGUCAAAAACCCCCCGGCCUGGCCGUGGGCAACUCCGUCCCGGGACAGUGACAGGUGGGGAGUUGACUGGGGCGGUACGUCAACCUGUCAAAAUGGUAACCGCAGUGUGCCUUAGAGGCGAGCUCAGGGGAGGUAAGAAACCUCCCGUGGAGCAGAAGGGCAAAAGCAGCUCGUUUGAUCUUGAUUAUUCAGUAUGAGUACAGACCGUGAAAGCGCGGCCUCACGAUCCUUGCUGGAACGUUUUGGGUUUUAGCAGGAGGUGUCAAGAAAAGUUACCACAGGGAUAACUGGCUUGUGGCGGCCGAAGCGUUCAAUAGGACGUCCGCUUUUUUGAUCUUCGAUGUCGCUUCUUCCCUAUCAUUGUGAAAGCAGAAUUCACCAAGCGUUGGACUUGUUCACUCCCACUAAUAGGAACGUGAAGCUGGGUUUAGACGUCGUAGAGACAGGUUAGUUUUAAACCUACUGAUGAUGUGUUGUGAAUAGUAUCCUUGCUUUCAGUA